CAAAGUUACAACUUCUUCAAGAUAGAUUAUAAGGUGAAUACAUGAACCCUGAAUCUAUUUGGCAAAAGGCAUUUUCUAUAACUGCAUUUUGCGAACUCCAACAGUAUCACCAAACCUCCUAAAUUAAGUCCUAUAGAAGUCAAACCACCUGCAACAUAUCUCACCCUUUAAGCCAGAAUUGACAAAUCUUUCACCUCUUCUCUCACCAAUUGAGUCCCAAAAAAUUUCCGAAUUGGUCCAUGAUCCAUUUGGAAGGAGAACACUUAUUUCGGGAGGCAAGUGUACGAAAUAUUCUUGCUGGACGUGAUAUGGGAGAAUUUGCGUAUUUGAACUUCACAACGUACGUAAUGCAAAUAAAUUAAUACUAACAACGCAAUAGUAAAGAAAAACACAACAAACCAGAGAUUCAUUCUCAUUGAUGAGAUCAGCAGUGAUAUCAAGCAUCCAAACCAACUGCUCACAAUGCAUCUUUAACUUCAUCAUCAGAUAUCAAGCAUCCAAACCAACAGUGCACUUGGUUGUUCAAGUGAGUAAUCAUGUGAGGAGAAUCAAAGGAUGUACUUUAAAGUUCUUAAGCAGCAGUGAGGCUCAUUGUGUUGUGUCCUCAUCUGCUACUUCUUUUUCACUAAAUCUUAAGUCAAGAAGGCAAAGAAGACACAUUCUCAGCUAAGAUUUUCUCAAUCAAGCCUAUGAAGAAGACAAACCUCUAUAACAAAAAAACAAAGGACCUCAAGUAAAAUAAUUUUUGACCCAGAAGAUUUCUACUGCCAUUGUUAUAGCAUUAAGAAAGAAAAAUUGGUCAUCCAACAUAUAGGAAACAAAAAAAAGAUGUUUAUAUUCUUAUUAAAAAUGUAAGUAAGAAUGUAAAAGAAAGAGAAAUGAGAGCAAAUGAGGAUUAUGAUAUGAAAAUAUGAGAGAGCAAUGUAAGCUAGUGACUGAUACAUUUGCUUUUUUUGGAGGGAGGGGGGGGGGGUUGUUAGGGUUGACAGAAACAUCAUAAUCACCUAAUAAGAAGUACUCACAAAAUAGGUUCAUUUGAUUCCCAUCUAAAAAAAACAAACAGAUAUGGAGCAAUCAUAUAAUUGCUCUUCACAUUAAACAACAUGCAUAGUUGCAAGAAGUUUAAGUUCCACAUAUAAACACACAAAGUACUACAAUUCAAGAAAAGCCCAAAAAAGAUAAUCAAAAGAGACUGAUCAAAGUUACAACUUCUUCAAGAUAGAUUAUAGGGUGAAUACAUGAACCCUGAAUCUAUUUGGCAAAAGACAUUUUCUAUAACUGCAUUUUGCGAACUCCAACAGUAUCACCAAACCUCCUAAAUUAAGUCCUAUAGAAGUCAAACCACCUGCAACAUAUCUCACCCUUUAAGCCAGAAUUGACAAACCUUUCACCUCUUCUCUAACCAAUUGAGUACCAAAAAAUUUCCGAAUUGGUCCAUGAUCCAUUUGGAAGGAGAACACUGUGAUAUGGGAGAAUUUGCGUAUUUGAACUUCACAACGUACGUAAUGCAAAUAAAUUAAUACUAACAACG
rnacentral:lncRNA from 1 species